AGCGAUCAGAAUUUACUGUUAUUGCCUGGCCUCGCUCAUUUUCGAAGAAAUGGGGUCCGAUGAUUCUAUGAGCCGACAUGGCCGCCCAAACCGUAACUUUAAGCGAAUGCA
rnacentral:pre_miRNA from 1 species